CACGUAGGCGGGCUCUUAAGUCAGAUUUUAAAUCCAACAGCUUAACUGUUGACCUGGAUCUGAAACUGAGAGUCUUGAAUACAAGAGAGGAAAGCGGAAUUCCUGGUGUAGCGGUGAAAUGCGUAGAUAUCAGGAAGAACACCGGUGGCGAAGGCGGCUUUCUGGCUUGUUAUUGGCGCUGAUGUGCGAAAGCGUGGGGAGCGAACA
rnacentral:rRNA from 1 species